rnacentral:rRNA from 1 species
AUUGAACGCUGGCGGCAGGCUUAACACAUGCAAGUCGAGCGAGCGGCGGACGGGUGAGUAAUGUCUGGGAAACUGCCUGAUGGAGGGGGAUAACUACUGGAAACGGUAGCUAAUACCGCAUACCAUCAGAUGUGCCCAGAUGGGAUUAGCUAGUAGGUGGGGUAAUGGCUCACCUAGGCGACGAUCCCUAGCUGGUCUGAGAGGAUGACCAGCCACACUGGAACUGAGACACGGUCCAGACUCCUACGGGAGGCAGCAGUGGGGAAUAUUGCACAAUGGGCGCAAGCCUGAUGCAGCCAUGCCGCGUGUGUGAAGAAGGCCUUCGGGUUGUAAAGCACUUUCAGCGAGGAGGCGUUACUCGCAGAAGAAGCACCGGCUAACUCCGUGCCAGCAGCCGCGGUAAUAC